rnacentral:misc_RNA from 1 species
AUUGGAAUGGAUUCAAAAUGAGAGGAAGUUAUCAUAAGAGUAUAGUUUGAGUUGGGAUCACUGUCAGAAGAAACUCAACUCAACUCAACUAAGCCUUUAUCCCAAAAAUUUGGGGUCGGCUAUAUUGGGAUCACUGUCAGAAGAUUCUAAUGAAUUUUGAAUGUAAGGGUUAGUAGCCUAGAAGCUGGGAAGUGUCUCAUCAUGGGCUGUUAUAUGUUUAAAUCCAUCUUUUGCUUGUUGUAAGGAAGAAAAUUCUCCUCCAUGUUGCC